UCUCUCCUCUGCUGGAGGGAUUAAUUUAUAUUUUCCCUCUUGCUUCUUUCUAAGCUCUUCUCUUCUACCAUCCCCUUCUCUACUUGUCUUGACCUGUUCCAGAUGAGGAGGGGUGAGGUGAGGGGGUAUCACAGCUUGCAGAUGUUAUAGAUCCACAGUGGCAUUUGGUGCAACUAGAAAUGGUCCUUGUGUGCUCAACUAUCUGUUUCAGCUCUGCUACACUACUCUGGCCCUGUAAAAGAGAAGCCCAGGCAGGUUUGUUCAUGUGGAUGUUGCUUCCCUGCAGCAUCGUGUGCUGCUGCACUCCCCGUCUCAGCCCUUCUCCGACACUGCACCUCUUGAGGGGCUUCUUUUCCAAUGUGUAAGGUGAUGCUGUAUUUAUCAGGUGGUGGGGAGGGAUGGCAGCACCCAGCAGAGAGGAGGAGGGGAUGUGGAGGACCCCCCUCGGCGGGCCCUCGGACCCCCUGUGCAGCUGAUGGACAAGUUGCAGCCCACAUCUGGAACGUGACAGUUGUCGAAGGGGAGAGCGACCGUGGCACCGUCGUGCCAUAAAUGUGCAAGGUACGGGCACAGCUGUGAGCGAGGGUGCUGUGGGGUGCCGGCCGUGCGAGUCCCCUGCUCUGGCAGAUCACAGGUGAAAAGAAUUGUGGACGUCUCAUCCAGAUGCCUUUUGCCGAUGACAAAGUCCUUGUUCUGGUGACAGAAGUGGAGAAUAGCUGGCGGUGGCUGCCAGCCCCUCCUCAGGGAGCCCCUGAUGCCCAAGUGCCACAGCUGGGGUCUGAGGCGUGUUGGCAGAGUGACACCGUGCCCCGGGAUGCUGAGCUGGAGAAGGCAGGGAUGCACCCUGCCAGCCCUGGGACGCGCGGGUGGGCACCGGAGCGGAGCUCUGCGCUGGAGCAGUGGGACGAGGGACCCUCGGAGGGAGCCGACGUCCAUCCUGAAAGCUGUGUGACCACUGGGAUCAGGAGGCGGCACAGGAUCUGAUUGCCGGCACCGCGGCUGGGAGCACCGGGCCGGGUCUGAAAUGCAUCGGCAGAUCGGUGUGAGGAGCUGUGCUUAAGAGCCACAACACUGAAUCAUUUCCCAGAAAUCCCCUGUCAGUCUAACCAUAAACACCGGGGAGAGUGGAAGGUGGGGAGACAUGUUUCUUCAAUUUCCUACAACAAAGCAAGCGUAAAGGGGAUUAAGAAGGCAACGCUGGGGGAAAAGAGAGCGAUUUAGAGGGUAAGGGAACAUUAAGAUUGAGAGGGAUAAAAUGCAGAUUGAAGUUGUUGGGCUAGAACAGAAGAACUUCUCAGUCUGUAUAUUUAGCUCAGUGAGGUAUAUAAACAGAAACCUACAGCCAGCUCAGCCACUUCUCCCCCAGUGGAGUGAGUCAUCAGCCCUUGGAUCUAAAGUUAGGUUCACGUCAGAGCUUACACUCUCUCAUUUUAUUUUUCUCUUUCUAUUUUGAAGGGUGUGGGAAAAGCUGAGCACCGUCUCCUGGAAGCAGCAAACAUAAACCCACAACGGCAACAGAUGCCAGACCUGAUGCCCUACCUGGGAGCACUGGGAAAAAGCCUGCUUUGUGUCUGGCUGCUCCUCUUCCUUGCCGCGUGCCUGGGGAUGAGCUCAGCUUACAUGUGGCCGUGUCUAAUCCGGGCACACAGUGGACCCAGCUCUAGGGGGUCUGUGCGCUGUGCAGGCGAGCCGGAGGGUGGGCUGGACUGCACAGCCAUUCCUGGGGGCAGCGGCAGCAGGAUUUGCGGUGAUGGUCAGUGUCUGGCUCCUGCGUGCUGGGCAGGAGAGCAGGAUCUGCCGUCGGGGCUGGCAAGAGAGAUUGGGGCUGGGUCAGCCUGGCAGGAGGCAGGAUGAUGCCGGUGAGACUUGGCUAGAGGAUGCCUUUAAAUCCAGUGUGGGCUGCUGCCUAGUGGGCUCAGCCCACAGCCACCUGCAGACCCGCAGAGGAGAGGGCUGCAUCUCCCAGAGCUAACCCUGGAGCGUCUCUGCUUUGGUUCGGCUCCCCCUUUCCUGCUCGUUCCCUCUCGCCCGGUCCCCUCUCCGAAGCGGUUGCAGUGAUUCACAUACUUUCCCCAUUAAACCCCCUCAGCCAGUGCUGCCGGCUCAGGUGGUGACAAGGACGACGUGGACUUUCCUGUUCCUCUCAAAAAUCACAGAGGGGACAGGGAGGGACCUUUGGAAAUGCUCUGGAUGCAUCUGUAGGACCAGGUUGUGCCAUGCUCCACUCUGGUGUGACCCACCCCCAGGUUGCUCCCAGCAGAGCCCAUGCGUAUUACUCGGGGCAGGUGACAAAACUCUUUGAAAGAGCCUCGGGGGUUAAAGACGGAGCCCUGUGACUACUCUGAGCUGCCAGACGAGGAGCCGUUCAUCUUCAGACCCUUCUCUUGGGGCUGGUGGAGAGGAGAAGGGAGGGCAGCGGCUUUCCAGCCCAAGGCUUGGUGAUAACACCGGGAUUGCCACUGUGGGGGAUGCCCAUGGUGUAUGCUGGAAGGCAAACAGACGUGAUCCUGGGAUGUGGACAUUAGCGAUGACCCACGGAUUAUCCUGGCACUCCUGGUGCACCCUGAGGAUCCUCUGAGGGCUGAGUUUGCCUUUCAGGAGAGGAAACAAGAUUAGACACUUUAUAAAACACAAAAGUGUUAUGCUAAAAGCGGACAGCGGCCGUCAUCUUUGCUCCAAAGACUUUUAAGGGCCUCACGAGAGACAGUCGCGGUGCCAACCACCUUCCUCAGGCUCCAGGGAGCUUGGCUUAUGUGAUGGAAAUGGCCAGGGGCACCUUGGCUUCUGCCCAACGCCCCUGGCACAGCAAAGCCAAGCCACGCAGAGAUGGACGGCAGAGGAAAGGAUACGUGCUGGGUGUUUUUCACCCUAGAUGGUGAACGCACGUGAGCUACCUGGAGGUAAAACCAGAGAUGCUUUGGCUUUACCAGAAGGUGGGCUUGCUCCAUUGCCUUCCUGCGGAGAGUUAAUGACUGAGGGCCUAUUGCGCAGUACAAUUAAAGUGCUUGGUUUCCCUGGCAUUUUUAGGUCGGCUGUGUUAAUUGCCCUGACCCAGCUAUUCUAGUUGUGCACUCAAAGUCUGUGACAGCCGGCACAGACGUUGUCUUGGUGGGGAAGGGCUGGAGAAGGCUUCGUGUAACGCUGCGAGGAAGCAGAGGAGGCACGUGUUGUACCAUAGCCCAGCUGGGAGCUGGGUGUUUUUUAGCUGCUUAUUUACAAUAUAUGCCCAUGGCAGAAACAAGAAUA